GUAUCCCUUGAAUAAGCCUCGGCGAACUACGUGCCAGCAGCCGCGGUAAAACGUAGGAGGCUAGCGUUAUCCGGAUUUAUUGGGCGUAAAGCGCGUGCAGGCGGUUUGUCAAGUUGGAUGUGAAAGCUCCUGGCUUAACUGGGAGAGGUCGUUCAAAACUGACAGACUAGAGAAUGGGAGAGGGAGGUGGAAUUCCGGGUGUAGUGGUGAAAUGCGUAGAUAUCCGGAGGAACACCAGUGGCGAAAGCGGCCUCCUGGACCACUUCUGACGCUAAGACGCGAAAGCUAGGGUAGCAAACGGGAUUAGAGACCCCGGUAGUCCUAGCCGUAAACGAUGUAGACUUGGCGUUGGCGGAGUUAAGUCUGCCAGUGCCGUAGCUAACGCGAUAAGUCUACCGCCUGGGGACUACGACCGCAAGGUUAAAACUCAAAGGAAUUGACGGGGACCCGCACAAGCAGCGGAGCGUGUGGUUUAAUUCGAUGCUACACGAAGAACCUUACCAAGGUUUGACAUGUAAGUGGUAGUGAUCUGAAAAGUGAACGACCCUUCGGGGAGCUUACACAGGUGCUGCAUGGCUGUCGUCAGCUCGUGUCGUGAGAUGUUCGGUUAAGUCCGCUAACGAGCGCAACCCUCACUGUGCGUUACAUGUGUCACACGGGACUGCCGGUUUUAAGCCGGAGGAAGGCGAGGAUGACGUCAAGUCAGCAUGGCCUUUAUAUCUUGGGCUACACACACGCUACAAUGGUCUGUACAAUAGGUUGCCAAGCCGCGAGGCGGAGCCAAUCCAUAAAGCAGGCCUCAGUUCAGAUUGUAGGCUGCAACCCGCCUGCAUGAAGAUGGAGUUGCUAGUAACCGCAGGUCAGCUAUACUGCGGUGAAUACGUCCCCGGGUCUUGCACACACCGCCCGU
rnacentral:rRNA from 1 species